AUUGAACGCUGGCGGCAUGCUUUACACAUGCAAGUCGAACGGUAACAGGCCGCAAGGUGCUGACGAGUGGCGAACGGGUGAGUAAUGCAUCGGAACGUGCCCAGUCGUGGGGGAUAACUACUCGAAAGAGUAGCUAAUACCGCAUACGAUCUAUGGAUGAAAGCGGGGGACCGUAAGGCCUCGCGCGAUUGGAGCGGCCGAUGUCAGAUUAGGUAGUUGGUGGGGUAAAGGCUCAUCAAGCCAACGAUCUGUAGCUGGUCUGAGAGGACAACCAGCCACACUGGGACUGAGACACGGCCCAGACUCCUACGGGAGGCAGCAGUGGGGAAUUUUGGACAAUGGGCGCAAGCCUGAUCCAGCAAUGCCGCGUGCAGGAAGAAGGCCUUCGGGUUGUAAACUGCUUUUGUACGGAACGAAACGGCUCUGGUUAAUACCCGGGGCUAAUGACGGUACCGUAAGAAUAAGCACCGGCUAACUACGUG
rnacentral:rRNA from 1 species